UACGUAGGGGGCUAGCGUUGUCCGGAAUCAUUGGGCGUAAAGAGCGUGUAGGCGGCCCGGUAAGUCCGCUGUAAAAGUCAAAGGCUCAACCUUUGAAUGUCAGUGGAUACUGCCGGGCUAGAGUCCGGAAGAGGCGAGUGGAACUCCUGGUGUAGCGGUGGAAUGCGCAGAUAUCAGGAAGAACACCAACGGCGAAGGCAGCUCGCUAGGACGGUACUGACGCUGAGACGCGAAGGCGUGGGGAGCGAACAGG
rnacentral:rRNA from 1 species